AUUUAAGUAGUUUAAUUAGAACAGUAAUUUGUGGUGUUACAGGUGUGUUUUAUCCUUAGAUU
rnacentral:tRNA from 1 species